GACGAACGCUGGCGGCGUGCCUAACACAUGCAAGUCGAACGAAGAAUGUUUUUCGGAAUAUUCUUAGUGGCGGACGGGUGAGUAACGCGUGAACAAUCUGCCCCGUACAAAGGGAUAGCCUCGGGAAACCGGGAUUAAAACCAUAUAACGCUUUAGUACCGCAUGGUAAUAAAGUCAAAUCGAUUAAGAGGUAUGGGAUGAGUUCGCGUCUGAUUAGCUAGUUGGUGAGGUAAGGGCUCACCAAGGCGACGAUCAGUAGCCGGCCUGAGAGGGUGAACGGCCACACUGGAACUGAGACACGGCCCAAACUCCUACGGGAGGCAGCAGUGAGGGAUAUUGCACAAUGGGCGAAAGCCUGAUGCAGCGACGCCGCGUGAGGGAUGACGGUCUUCGGAUUGUAAACCUCUGUCCUUGGUGAAGAAGAAAGUGACGGUAGCCAAGGAGGAAGCCACGGCUAACUACGUG
rnacentral:rRNA from 1 species